UACGUAGGGUGCAAGCGUUGUCCGGAAUUAUUGGGCGUAAAGGGCUCGUAGGCGGUCCGUCACGUCGGGAGUGAAAACUUGGGGCUUAACCCCAAGCCUGCUUCCGAUACGGGCGGACUAGAGGUAGGCAGGGGAGAAUGGAAUUCCCGGUGUAGCGGUGAAAUGCGCAGAUAUCGGGAGGAACACCGGUGGCGAAGGCGGUUCUCUGGGCCUUACCUGACACUGAGGAGCGAAAGCGUGGGGAGCGAACAGG
rnacentral:rRNA from 1 species